CCUACGGGAGGCAGCAGUGAGGAAUAUUGGUCAAUGGACGCGAGCCUGAACCAGCCAAGUAGCGUGCAGGAUGACUGCCCUACGGGUUGUAAACUUCUUUUGUAAAAGAGUAAAGUGAGACACGUGUGCCUUGUUGUAUGUACUUUAUGAAUAAGGAUCGGCUAACUCCGUGCCAGCAGCCGCGGUAAUACGGAGGAUCCGAGCGUUAUCCGGAUUUAUUGGGUUUAAAGGGAGCGUAGGUGGGUUGUUAAGUCAGUUGUGAAAUUUUCCGGCUUAACCGUGAAAUUGCCAUUGAUACUGGUAGUCUGGAGUAUAGUUGCGGUAGGCGGAAUGCGUGGUGUAGCGGUGAAAUGCUUAGAUAUCAUGCAGAACUCCGAUUGCGAAGGCAGCUUACUAAACUGCAACUGACAUUGAUGCUCGAAAGUGUGGGUAGCAAACAGGAUUAGAUACCCGAGUAGUC
rnacentral:rRNA from 1 species